GAUUGUAAUGUUCAGCUCUUUUUAGUCUUGAUAUCAUUGGUACAGCAUCCUCUUGAGCUUUUGUUUGAUUCCAUGCCAGAACAGCUCCAGGUCUCUUUGCAAGAUUAUUCCACUGUAGACGAAAAACUACCAUGCAGGUUUCCACCUUGGCCAUAAAGGUUUCGCUGCUUGAACUCUUUCCUGGACAAACUGACCAACCUGUGGUGUCCAAGCUCAUAAAAGAUUUUUAUCUCCCUUGAGACUGCAGCAUGCAGAGGUGCAAUUAACACAUUGAAAUCAGGUAUGAAAAACAUUGCAUAAUUAAGUAAACAAAUUAUACUACUUAAUUAUUUUAGAGAAUGUGGAUGUGUUAAAGCUGCUAUUAUGUCUUUAUAAUUAUCAGA